GACGAACGCUGGCGGCGUGCUUAACACAUGCAAGUCGAACGGAAAGGCCCUGCUUUUGUGGGGUGCUCGAGUGGCGAACGGGUGAGUAACACGUGAGUAACCUGCCCUUGACUUUGGGAUAACUUCAGGAAACUGGGGCUAAUACCGGAUAGGAGCUCCUGCUGCAUGGUGGGGGUUGGAAAGUUUCGGCGGUUGGGGAUGGACUCGCGGCUUAUCAGCUUGUUGGUGGGGUAGUGGCUUACCAAGGCUUUGACGGGUAGCCGGCCUGAGAGGGUGACCGGCGAAUUAGUGGAUGAGAUCAGGCCAAGACAGGGGGGGGAGGCAGGGGGGGGUAAUAGGGAGGAGGGGGGGGGAGGGCGUGGCCGAGGCGGCGUGUGCGGGAUGACGGUUGGGGGGUUGUCAGUCGGUGGGGCCGGCGAUGAGGGGGGAGUGAGGGGAAUGGCAAAAGAAAGACCGGCUAACUAGGGGCCAGCAGCCGGGGUAAGAGAGGGGAGGAGCACA
rnacentral:rRNA from 1 species